AUGUGAAAUUCCAAUCCUGGACAGCGAGAGCCAAAUUCAUAUGCCCCCAACAUUGGGUACCCCGAAGGCUCCAAUCCUGCCCUCCCAUCACCUAUCAAUCCACCCUUUUUCCCAGGCCCCUUUUUUCCUUCCUAAGGAGCUCCCCAGGGCAAUCCAGCUUUCCCCCCAGGUGGGCUUCCUCAUCCUGUGCAACAGCCAGGGUAUCCAGGAUGCCAACCCUGGGGUUCCAACCCUCUUCCAUACUCACCACCUGCCCUCAGAAUGCCUCCUGUGAAUCCCUUGGGUCCUGGUACGACCAGAUCAGGAGUGGUAGUGGACAAAAAGAUGCAGAAGAAAACAAAGAAAGCUCAUAAAAAGAUGCACAAGCACCACAAGCAUCACAAGCAUGGCAAACAUUCCUCCUCCUUUUUCUCUUUCCCUUUCAGCAGUGACUGAUUAAAUACAGGCCCUGGACCCUUCCCUCAAGUCUCACCAGUUCGGCUCUCCCAUCAAGUGUCAGAUGCCAUGUUCUACUGUGAGAAUGUAAUUCUUGUGCUCCCCACCUCUAACCCCACUUGAGCCUCACCCUGCUGUUCAGCCCUGAGUGGCUAGGGAGAAUGGAAAGAGGAUUGCCAUGACAUGGCCAACUUCUUGCUGCUUGGAUAGAUCAUAUAGCUAACGAGUUUAGCAGGGGAGCUAUUUUUUAAAGAUGAUGAACUAAAUGUUGAAGACGAGUUUAAGAUGUGUAAAAUGUGAUUUUUUUUACUUACUCUUAUAAUACUUGUGAUUGGGGAGGUUUGUGGAAAUUUAAUUAUGAUGAAAAACCUCUAUCGUUUUUGUAAUGUUGGCAUACUUGGGGAAUUUAGUGGCAAAUACAUUCUCCAGCAGGCUUUUUGUUGGUUGCACUAACUGCAGGGUUGCUGGGAAGUAGAGUCC